rnacentral:misc_RNA from 1 species
CUUCGAGAUUUCUCUAGCCUGCUGCUGCUGCUGCUGCUGCCACGUCGCUCUUCGCGUAUCGUCGAUACUCCCCUCGCCAUCCCACGUAACCCCUCGUACAACUGGAAGCUCCGUUUACCCCUCGACCUCACUCUCACUUUCUCUUUCUCCUCCGAGAGCCACCGAGACUUUUGUACUCGCGUUCGAGAGAUUUUCGAAGCGUCGUGUCCACGCUCCAUUUCUCCUGUCGAGGUGAUAAUCCAGUGACUCAAUCAUCGCUAUGUUUUCGACCCUCACUUUUAGCGGCAAUUGCGAAACAGGGAAUUCGCCGGUUUGCGAAAAACAAUCGAUCGAACAAGACUCCUCUUUCUUUCUCACCAUUUCGACUGACUUUCCACGCUACUCUGUUCAUUCGCUUACGCGUUAAAGCCCCGAGACGAAACCUUCGACCCACGGUACUCGGGCAGCACUUUUCUUUCCGUCAAAAUUCGAAGCAGCUCGCGAUCCGGCCGAAUCGUUCAGCGACUCGAACGAGAUUUCGGUGAAGAUCGGACGGCUACGAAAUUCCUGUUAAUCCGACGAACCCCGCGCUCGUAUCGUUUCUCUUUUUUUCUCACGAGCUCUCGACAACGCUGUUGGAUUUCGCGAAGCAUGAAAAACACGAUUUUUCAUUUCGAGUGCAGGCUCCCUACUACUAAUGAGAAACAGAAAGGGAAAACGAGAGGAGAGAGAGAGAGAGGACGACACCGGAGGAAAGGAUCGAAGUUAAGGGUCGCGAACACCAGAGGGGCAGCUGGGAGAGAAACCCCGAGGGUUCUUUUCAGUAGGCUGUUUGCUCGUGGAAGCGAGAAAGACGGGGGUCGGGUUAGGGAAACCACCGUCGACUGGUAGUGGCGCACGAUCCUGAGAAAAGCACGGCUUUCACGAAGGACCCGUUCCCCGCCCACGUAAAUGGAAUACCGCGCGUGGAACGGCGAGCAUGAGAACGCGGAGGGAAUAAUUUUCAAGGGGAUUCGACAAAAUUGAAUAUUCGGCGACGGUACUUUUGACCCCUCUUCGUAAAUUCCGAUCGAGCGGAUCGGAAAAAACGAUCAACUGUCAUUGGAGGUUAGUUUAGUUAGCGCGGGGAGAACGCGCCGGUCGAUCGGAGCUUCGUCGAAGGAACCCGCGGAGCAAAAGCGCAGGAGAUCGUCCGAGGCUCGUUCGCGAGGGGGUCCGCAGAGAGUCAGCUUGGUCCGGACAGCCUAACGGGAAUUGAAAUGUUUUCCGGUCGAUAGAGGCGCGGCAGCGGACGGACGCGUCUUUUUCUCGUCUUCGUUCCUCCGCUCGAAUGUUAUCUCGCAUUCGUUCAUAUUUCCUCACGUUAUCGUUCUUCUCCCUCGGGAGUUUCCGAGUCUGAUGUUUCCGGGGGUGAAAGCUGUCGGGAAUUCAUACGCUGAUGUGGGAAAAGUUUCGCAGACAGGCUCGAAAGGUUGUAGAGAGUUUAAUGAAAGUUUGAACAUUCGAAGAGUAUCGAUUUCACCCACGCUACUAAAUCACAAUGAUUCCGAGUCAAGUUCCGGAAGAGCAUUGUCCUAAUUGAUUUUUUUAUUCUCGAGAAGCUUGAAUAAUUCAGUUUCGUAGUGGGGGCCGUUCCCGUUACAGAAACGAUGAUUGCCUCUCGUUCUCUCCCUCGUAAUCUCAACUCGUUGGCACAAACUUGUUCCGCCUGGCAAUCUCCUCGCGGCGUGCUCGUUGCGUGAAUAAUGAAUCGAGCUUGUUACGCGGGGCUACUACCGGUCAACCGAAUUAGCUUUAUUGCCACGCGGGGGGGAAUAAUUCGAGGUUCGUCGCGAGCGUCCGCGUUGUCACAGACGUUCCUCGGUGUAGCGAACCCUUUCCGCGUCCUGUCCUUUACCGAGCCUCUGAAAAUCAGCAGCGUGCGCUCGAGCAACGAAAUUGAGGAUGGAAGCUUGGGCAGCGCCCGCUCAAAAAUGGGGGCUCCCCGACAGGAUCACGUGAAAAUCGCGCCUCCGGAUAAUCUGAAAGACUGCUGUAACGGGGGAGCGAAUACUGAUCGAAAAGGAGGUCGGAGGCGAGCUCGAACCGUCGAAGGGCAGAGACGCACGUGCGAGGAGAGCGCGCGGCUGCAAUUACGUCGGUGGCACGCGACGCCGCUCGUUACCGAGGCCGACUACUCGUGGUCCCUAUUUACGAGUUUCCUUUCAGCCUCAAAAUAGAAGCGAUACGGUACGCUGGAUAAAAAGGAGCGCACACUCUCCGUCCGGAACGUCGUUAACGAGAAAUUGAUCGUUAACAUGAGAAAACUCGGGGGCGCGCAACCUUGAAAAGUGCGAAGGAAAAUCGAGUUGAAAGCGCCUCGGCGCACGUAAGCCCUAAUCUUGAGAGAUUUUUCCAAGUCUUAAGAAAAAUAAGCACGGGAAUGAAACUGAGACGAGAAGAAUGAACGCGAGGAGGAGGAGGAGGAGGAGUGCCGGAUGGGAAACAAUUGAUUAGCCUUGGAUCAACGGGCGCGGCGCGUCUGGCUCUGAGGGAGAGAAAAUGUUAUAACGCCUCGUAGAGGGCACGGCCAUCAGGUGGCAGCACUCUCUGGAUGAGGGAGUCUCGAGGCCUACCGACCAACCCCUCCCGCCCUCGGAUUUAUCCCUCCCCGAAACCGAGAAAGAGCAUCGCCGGUGUGAUUCGAGCACUGGAAUUGUACCAACGCUCGUGUGCCUUCCAGUGAUAAUACUAAAAAUACUCGACGGACACGAGAACUAGAAAACCCUCGGAAACACUCCUACGACGAAAACACCUUGUUCAAUCCUCAUGAAAAAUAUAAUAAAAUCGAUCAACAACAAACUCAUUUCAGACUCGGUGAUUAUUUCGUGAGGGGAAAAAGUACCUCGAAUUUAAACCUCAAUAUAAUAUUCGUCGCGGAGGAUCACGACUCUAUUAAAAUGUGUUACUCCAACGGGAUAACCGAAGAAGGACGAUGCUAUUUCUUCGAGUUUUGUCGAUACCUUUACGCGGGGCAAAGAGAGAAUCUGAGAGAAACAGUUCUGCCCGCAGUCUCAAGAACUUGAAGCGAAAGCACGAAUGGAAGCCAGCGAUCCAUUUGGACAACCGUUACAGACUGAUGAGAAAUGAAAAGAUGCUGGACGCGAAUGGCAACGUUACGGACCAGAUCGG